rnacentral:rRNA from 1 species
GAUGAACGCUGACAGAAUGCUUAACACAUGCAAGUCAACUUGAAUUUGGGUUUUUAACUUAGGUUUGGGUGGCGGACGGGUGAGUAACGCGUAAAGAACUUGCCUCACAGCUAGGGACAACAUUUGGAAACGAAUGCUAAUACCUAAUAUUAUGAUAAUAGGGCAUCCUAUAAUUAUGAAAGCUAUAAGCGCUGUGAGAGAGCUUUGCGUCCCAUUAGCUAGUUGGAGAGGUAACGGCUCACCAAGGCGAUGAUGGGUAGCCGGCCUGAGAGGGUGAUCGGCCACAAGGGGACUGAGACACGGCCCUUACUCCUACGGGAGGCAGCAGUGGGGAAUAUUGGACAAUGGACCGAGAGUCUGAUCCAGCAAUUCUGGGUGCACGAUGAAGUUUUUCGGAAUGUAAAGUGCUUUCAGUUGGGAAGAAACAAAUGACGGUACCAACAGAAGAAGUGACGGCUAAAUACGUGC